UGAUUACUUCCUUUGUCUUAAAAUUUUUGUCUUAAAUUUGUCUAAAUACAGAUGUAUCUAGUUACAUUUUAGUGUUAGAUACAUCCGUAUCUUAAGACAAGAAAUUUUGGACGGAGGGGAGUACCAU
rnacentral:pre_miRNA from 1 species